rnacentral:lncRNA from 1 species
GGAUGACUCUUAAAAGUCCCAACUCAGAUGAUUCUGUGACAUCCCUAGGGAAGCCCAGAAGUUGGGAUACUUUCUUCGUUUUCCUCCUGCCAAUGUGCUAUUGGACAGGCUUUCCACCUCCUGUUCUAGAGCUGCACUCGUUUCUUCAAUUUUUCCUACUCCAUCUUUUGUCCAAAUUGCUAAAAGCAGUAGAAGAUAGCAUAUUCCUCUGCUGAGCUGAGCAAUCAUUGUAAUUCCAGGGUUCAACAUUUUAAUUCUCAACUACCUGUUUUUGUUUAGUUAAUGAAAAAAGAGGUGGGGACCUGUUGUGAAGCACUGAAGGAUUUGAGACCCAGAGUACCUUAAACAAAUCUAAGAAAACUUCGUUAAAAAAAGAAAAAGAGAGACCAAAAACCAAGAAGGAAAAAUAGUACUCUUGACUCCAGCCUUGGCAUUGUUGAGGCGACAGAGCUGGUAACAUGCUGGAAACAGGGAUUCCUCAUAGACCACCCAGAAGAACACAUCUCAGGUCUGCUUCGUGGACUCUACGUGCAGACUCCAUUUGGAGAUUCUCCAGAUCAUUACACAGGUUAGCUCUCCCCCUGCUCACCCACCAGUCACAGGAUUCAAACAACGAGCUUCAAAUUAUGCUGAGAAUAAAUGGAGGUAAACAGCAAACCCAAGGAGACAAAUAAGACGAGCACCUUGAAGAGGAACCAGUAAGUGAAAUAGGAUGUGACAGGCUCAGGAAGAUGAGAGGGAAUGAUUUCCUGGAAUGCAG